GUCGUAGUCCGGAUUGGAGUCUGCAACUCGACUCCAUGAAGUCGGAAUCGCUAGUAAUCGUAGAUCAGAAUGCUACGGUGAAUACGUUCCCGGGCCUUGUACACACCGCCCGUCACACCAUGGGAGUGGGUUGCAAAAGAAGUAGGUAGCUUAACCUUCGGGAGGGCGCUUACCACUUUGUGAUUCAUGACUGGGGUGAAGUCGUAACAAGGUAACCGUAGGGGAACCUGCGGUUGGAUCACCUCCUUA
rnacentral:rRNA from 4 species